rnacentral:rRNA from 1 species
UCCGCCGCCAUAGGAUGGGUCUGCGGCCGAUUAGGUAGUUGUUGGUGUAAAGGACCAACAAGCCAAUAAUCGGUACGGGUUGUGGGAGCAAGAGCCCGGAGAUGGAUUCUGAGACACGAAUCCAGGCCCUACGGGGCGCAGCAGGCGCGAAAACUUUACAAUGCGGGAAACCGUGAUAAAGGAACUCAGAGUGCCUGUAAAAGCGGGCUGUUCGUUAGUUUAAAAAACCUAUGGAGAAAGGGCCGGGCAAGACCGGUGCCAGCCGCCGCGGUAAUACCGGCGGCUCGAGUGGUGGCCACUUUUAUUGGGCUUAAAGCGUUCGUAGCUGGUUUGUUAAGUCUCUUGGGAAAUCUGCCGGCUUAACUGUCAGGCGUCCAAGAGAUACUGGCAUACUAGGGACCGGGAGAGGUGAGGGGUACUACUGGGGUAGGAGUGAAAUCCUGUAAUCCUAGUGGGACCACCUGUGGCGAAGGCGCUUCACCAGAACGGCUCCGACAGUGAGGGACGAAAGCUGGGGGAGCAAACCGGAUUAGAUACCCGGGUAGUCCCAGCCGUAAACGAUGCGCGUUAGGUGUAACGGUGACCACGAGAGGCAUUAGUGCUGAAGAGAAAUCGAAAAAUGAGCCGCCUGGGAAGUACGGUCGCAAGGCUGAAACUUAA